rnacentral:rRNA from 1 species
AUUGAACGCUGGCGGCAUGCCUUACACAUGCGAGUCGAACGGCAGCAUGGAGAGCUUGCUCUCUGAUGGCGAGUGGCGAACGGGUGAGCAAUGCAUCGGAACGUACCGUGUAAUGGGGGAUAACGUAGCGAAAGUUACGCUAAUACCGCAUACGACCUGAGGGUGAAAGCAGGGGAUCGCAAGACCUUGCGUUAUACGAGCGGCCGAUGUCAGAUUAGCUAGUUGGUGAGGUAAAGGCUCACCAAGGCGACGAUCUGUAGCUGGUCUGAGAGGACGAUCAGCCACACUGGGACUGAGACACGGCCCAGACUCCUACGGGAGGCAGCAGUGGGGAAUCUUGCGCAAUGGGCGGAAGCCUGACGCAGCGACGCCGCGUGCGGGAAGAAGGCCUUCGGGUUGUAAACCGCUUUCAGGAGGGACGAAGCUACUCGGGUGAAUAGCCCAGAGGGUGACGGUACCUCCAGAAGAAGCCCCGGCUAACUACGUGCCAGCCGCCGCGGUAA